rnacentral:rRNA from 1 species
GGGGGCCUCGGGCAUUGCCUCAGUAGCGGCGAGUGAAGCGGCAAGAGCUCAGAUUUGAAAUCGUGCUUUGCGGCACGAGUUGUAGAUUGCAGGUUGGAGUCUGUGUGGAAGGCGGUGUCCAAGUCCCUUGGAACAGGGCGCCCAGGAGGGUGAGAGCCCCGUGGGAUGCCGGCGGAAGCAGUGAGGCCCUUCUGACGAGUCGAGUUGUUUGGGAAU